UAGCCGUAAACGAUACUCGCUAGGUGUCGGCCACGGUGCGACCGUUGUCGGUGCCGUAGGGAAGCCGUGAAGCGAGCCACCUGGGAAGUACGGCCGCAAGGCUGAAACUUAAAGGAAUUGGGCGGGGGAGCACCACAACGGGUGGAGCUUGCGGUUUAAUUGGAUUCAACGCCGGAAAUCUUACCGGGACCGGACAGCAACAUGAAGGCCAAGCUGAAGACUUUGCCGGAUUAGCUGAGAGGAGGUGCAUGGCGUAGUCGUGU
rnacentral:rRNA from 1 species